UGCUGAGCAGGAGUCCAGUCCCAGGUGUUCAGAGAGGCGGACCAGGCCCUCCCGGAAAGGUCCAGUGUUUCUGAGUCCUUCAGGAGGGUGAGGAGAGCCCGCAGGCUGCUGUGCACCUCUGCAACUUGCUUGUCCCAGGGUCGCAGCAAGUGGGGUGCAGAACACCACAGACUGCUUUGAGCAGAGCCCACUUCCUUCAUCCCGGAGAGCGUGAAGCCGUUACACCAACAUCAAUCAAGGGGAACCCACGGGCUGCACUCACACCGUUGAAGCAGCCAGACCGUCUUGCCUCGCAGCACCAGGUGCUGCUUCGCCGUGGGCACGCCGAGCUCCCCCGGUUACCUGCGGCAUCUCCUGCCUGGGCUUCGCCAUGGUGCACCGGACCUGGACUCGCGAGUCUGCACGCUGCGCAAGGAGGACCUGCUGCUGGAGCUCUGGCCAGCGUCUCCUCGCACCUGGAUGCGGGGACUUGGGGGCCAGGGCGAAGCUGCGCAAGACUCAGGGUGGGAUGGCUAGGGAGGACGCAGAGGACCAGGAGGGGGAAGUUAGGAAUCCUACAUAACCAAAGGCGCCGAUGCUCUGCAGGGCGAGUUCAGCUGCCUGCACCCAGCUCCGGCUGCUCUUAG
rnacentral:lncRNA from 1 species